AGAAGAGGAAGACAAGAUGGCCGCCGACCCCUGCCCCAGCCGAGCCAGUCCACACUUUUUCGCCAUUCCAAGCCUUGUGGAGGGUGUGAGGUCUGUUAGGAAGUGACAAUCGUUCUCUCAGCCUUUCGACACCACAAGCAGCCGCCGGGAACCCUGCUGGACAUACGAGGAAGGUCCCUGCCUCCCCUGAUGCCUGGGGGCAGACUCCUGGCUGGUGGCUGUCCUCCUCACACCUCCUGCCUCCACAUGUCUUCUCAAAGGUCUUUUUGGUGGUCGGGCUGUGAGUCUCCCAGCCUUGCCGAUGGAAGACUUUCCUCCCUGGCCUUCCUCCUCCUUCAGGUCUUCCAGCUGGUCUCCUCCCGUGUACCUCCACAACUCCUCUGGAAGGUGGAGAGGGAGGAGUGCGGACACUAACGCUGCCUGUUCAGUGUGGGCCCCAAACACCUAGAUGCCAAGGAAGAGAACAUGAAGGUGACGGCAAUGAGAGAGGAGGAGGCAGAGGACGAGGGAAUGAUUUAAAUGCUGCGGAAGAGAGCUGUCUGGGAACUGGCUUGAAGAGAGAUAAGAAGAAGAGGAGGAAGAAGAAGAACAAGAGGAACAAGAGGAGGAGAAAGAUGAAGGGGGAACACAGGAAACAAUUGGUCCCUGCUUUCCCCUGACGGUGGUGGUCUCCUUGCUCCCGGGUGGUUGUCUUCACAUUUUUCUGCCUCCGCCUCCACAGGGCUUCCCAAAGGCUCCCCAAACACCACGACAGGCCAGCUGAGAAACAGAGCCUGGAGACACCCUCUUCUGCGGGAACCUUUCCUCAUGGCACCCUGACCUCCCUCCAAGAGACUCCCUCCCCACCCAACAACCCAUCCCUCCCUCCUCCCCUCAGUGCCAGGCACAUUCUCCCCUCCCAAAGUCUCCCGUCCCAUCCCAACAACCCAUCCAUAUUCUUCACUUGGUGGGCAAUGCUUGGCUGCUUGCCUUCUGAGACCUUCCUCAUGUACUUGGCAAUAUAGCCGUAGUGUUAAGGGAGAAAAUUUUCAUUAAACAGGGCGUGAGCUCAAAAGGUGAAACUAGCCAGCAAGGGAUGAUCCCUGUGGUGCGUCAAGAGACACGAAGAGGUGUACUACUGGCAAAAGUGUAGUAAGCAUGACUUACCUGGCUUCCUCUGUGUUCGUACAGGCCUCCCAACAUGGAGCUUGAUCUCUGUAGGAAGCCUCGUGGUGACCACGACACACACAAAGGACCUCAAAUCAUCUGUAGGGUUCUUAAUUAUAUCUCCUUAUGGGUCUGGCAAGGACCCUCAGUGUACACAAAGGUUAACUGAUAAGGUGUGUACAACUAUGCACAGCUUUAUUACAACCAAAGAACAGAAAACUCCACCACACACACACAAACUGACCUAGCGCGUCUCCGUGCGCCUACAGAACCUACUCUGACCUGGCUACACUAACGAUACAUGGUAUACUUAGCUUGGUGCGGAGGAAGGAUGAGAUGACGUGCAGCUGGCCCUCCUGCUGAGGCUCUUCAAAUCCAUACAUUAUAUAUAUAU